UAAAAUAAAACAGGAGAAGAAGCUCCUGCCUGCCUGUUGGUUUCUCUCCACCUCCCUGGCCCCUCCUUCCCCGUCCACUACUCACUCCUCUCGACCACCUGCUGGGGCCGGCUGAGGGCUCCUCUCCACCCCCUGGCCAGACCCCAGUGCAGCUCCAGCUCUGAGAAGUCUAUGCUACCUGCCACCUGUGGGGCCCCACCUGCCUCCCUGGAGCCAAGCCGCCUGGGUCGGGUGGAGAAGCCAGGCCAGUCUCAGCCAAUGAAUGGGGGUGAAAGGGUGGAGAGCUUCGCUGGGAUCCUGUAGGCAAGUGGGUCCUGAGGGAGCCUGGCCCAGGCAGGCCCUGCUCCUCCUCUGGCCUGGUUGAUUGCGCUACUCCCAAGGGGACAGACUGGAAUGAUUCCCUGCCCCAGGACCAACCCAGCUCAGCCUGGCAGACAGUCACCUCCCAGCAGGGCCAGAUUGGCUAUAGGCAUUGUCUUUUGGUCUGAGAUCUAAGAUUCAACUGGCCUGGGAUGCUGAGGAACAACUCAACCUUUCUUGUCCAGAUCACUUCUCUUCCUGCAGUGGAAACUUUCAAGAAACCCUCUUCUCUACCACCCAGGCCAAAUUUAGGCACGGUAUAAGAAAAAGCAAUGCCACUGAAGACCAUAGGCCAAAUUCUGGUCCUACUAAUUACCUAUGGAUCAUCUAACCAAACUAGGCAAGGGCAAGCAUUUGAACUCAUUAGCUGAAAAUGAUUCUUUGGAUUGACCAAGUAUUUCACCCCAUCAACGCUGUGGAUCACUGCUAUAGCAUGGAACAAGGGAUAAAGCGCGAUUAAGAAGAGAGGAGAUCAA